rnacentral:rRNA from 1 species
ACGAACGUUGGCGGCGUGGAUGAGGCAUGCAAGUCGGACGCGAAAGCCGCAAGGCGAGUAGCGUGGCGGACGGGUGCGUAACGCGUAGUCAAGUUACCUUCGAGACGGGGAUAACCGCGGGAAACCACGGCUAAUACCGGAUGGACCAGCGUGGUUGCAUGAUCGUGCUGGUAAAUGGGGGGGAUCCUUCGGGACCUCCUGCUCGGAGAGACGACUGCGUCCUAUCAGCUAGUUGGGCGGGGGUAACGGCCCACCAAGGCGAUGACGGGUAGCCGGCCUGAGAGGGUGGUCGGCCACACUGGGACUGAGACACUGCCCAGACUCCUACGGGAGGCUGCAGUCGAGAAUCUUCCGCAAUGGGCGAAAGCCUGACGGAGCGACGCCGCGUGGAGGACGAAGGCCUUCGGGUUGUAAACUCCUGUCACGGAUCAUGAAAGGCGUUCCAUGAACAAUGGAACGAUUGACGUAAGUCCGAGAGGAAGCACCGGCUAACUCUGUGCCAGCAGCCGCGGUAAUACAGAGGGUGCGAACGUUGUUCGGAAUCACUGGGCAUAAAGCGCACGUAGGCGGCGCCGCAAGUGUGGAGUGAAAUCCCACGGCUUACCCGUGGAACUGCUUGGCAGACUGCGGUGCUCGAGGUUGGUAGGGGAGAGCGGAACUCUUGGUGGAGCGGUGAAAUGCGUAGAUAUCAAGAGGAACACCGGUGGCGAAGGCGGCUCUCUGGUCCAAUCCUGACGCUGAGGUGCGAAAGCUAGGGGAGCAAACGGGAUUAGAUACCCCGGUAGUCCUAGCUGUAAACGAUGGGCACUAGCUUGGGGUCUCCCUGUGUGAUCCCAGGUGAAGCGAAUGUGGUAAGUGCCCCGCCUGGGGAGUACGGUCGCAAGGCCUGAAACUCAAAGGAAUUGACGGGGGCUCACACAAGCGGUGGAGCAUGUGGUUCAAUUCGAAGCAACGCGAAGAACCUUACCCAGGCUUGACAUGCAGGGAUCAGUCCGGUGGAAGCCGGAGGAUUGCCUUCGGGUGUAACCUGCACAGGUGUUGCAUGGCUGUCGUCAGCUCGUGUCGUGAGAUGUCGGGUUAAGUCCCAUAACGAGCGAAACCCCUGCCACUAGUUACCAACGGAUGAUGCCGGGCACUCUAGUGGGACUGCCGUUGUCAAAACGGAGGAAGGUGGGGAUGACGUCAAGUCAUCAUGGCCCUUACGCUUGGGGCUACACACGUGCUACAAUGGUCGGUACAGAGGGCAGCGAGAACGCGAGUUCAAGCAAACCCCAAAAAGCCGGCCCCAGUUCGGAUUGCAGGCUGCAACUCGCCUGCAUGAGGUUGGAAUCGCUAGUAAUCGCGGAUCAGCUACGCCGCGGUGAAUAUGUUCCUGAGCCUUGUACACACCGCCCGUCAAGCCACGAAAGCUGAGAGCGCCCGAAGUCGCUUGCCCAACCGCAAGGAGGCGGCGCCGAAGGCGAGCUCGGUGAUUGGGACU